AACGAACGCUGGCGGCAUGCCUAACACAUGCAAGUCGAACGAGAUCUUCGGGUCUAGUGGCGCACGGGUGCGUAACGCGUGGGAAUCUGCCCUUUGGUUCGGAAUAACAGUUGGAAACGACUGCUAAUACCGGAUGAUGACGAAAGUCCAAAGAUUUAUCGCCAGAGGAUGAGCCCGCGUAGGAUUAGCUAGUUGGUGUGGUAAAGGCGCACCAAGGCGACGAUCCUUAGCUGGUCGGAGAGGAUGAUCAGCCACACUGGGACUGAGACACGGCCCAGACUCCUACGGGAGGCAGCAGUGGGGAAUAUUGGACAAUGGGCGAAAGCCUGAUCCAGCAAUGCCACGUGAGUGAUGAAGGCCUUAGGGUUGUAAAGCUCUUUUACCCGGGAUGAUAAUGACAGUACCGGGAGAAUAAGCUCCGGCUAACUCCGUGCCAGCCGCCGCGGUAA
rnacentral:rRNA from 1 species